CUUGACCUCAAAUCAGGUAGGACUACCCGCUGAACUUAAGCAUAUCAAUAAGCGGAGGAAAAGAAACUAACAAGGAUUCCCCUAGUAACUGCGAGUGGAGCGGGAUGAGCUCAAAUUUUGAAUCUGGCGGUCUUCCGGCCGUCCGAGUUGUAAUCUAGAGAA
rnacentral:rRNA from 1 species